AGGGUCUGAAUCAUCAUCUGUUGGCCGCCUCCGACCAAUUUCAUACACCCUAGCAGAAGAAUACAUCUCAUCUUGGUCAUCCAUGGUGACCAGCCCAACAAAAGAAUCAGUUGGCUCUGCCGCGAAGUCAAGGACACAACGGUCUACUGGAAUGGUUGCAAUGUCAGAGUAGUUACGUCGCAAAGUCAAGGACACAACGGUCUACUGGAAUGGUUGCAAUGUCGGAGUAGUUAACAGCAUCUACCGUCCGGAAAGCAGCAAAGAGUGGGUGUUUAACACGACGUGUCUGG
rnacentral:lncRNA from 1 species